rnacentral:rRNA from 2 species
GGAGGAAAAGAACUAACAAGGAUUCCCCUAGUAACUGCGAGUGAAGCGGGAAAAGCUCAAAUUUAAAAUCUGGCAGUCUAUGGCUGUCCGAGUUGUAAUCUAGAGAAGUAAUGCCCGCGCUGGACCGUGUACAAGUCUCCUGGGAUGGAGCGUCAUAGAGGGUGAGAAUCCCGUCUCUGACACGGACUACCAGGGCUUUGUGGUAUGCUCUCAAAGAGUCGAGUUGUUUGGGAAUGCAGCUCAAAAUGGGUGGUAAAUUCCAUCUAAAGCUAAAUAUUGGCGAGAGACCGAUAGCGAACAAGUACCGUGAGGGAAAGAUGAAAAGAACUUUGGAAAGAGAGUUAAACAGUACGUGAAAUUGCUGAAAGGGAAACGCUUGAAGUCAGUCGCGUUGGCCAGGGAUCAGCCUUGCUUUUUUGCAUGGUGUACUUUCUGGUUGAUGGGUCAGCAUCAAUUUUGACUGCUGGAAAAAGGCUUGAGGAAUGUGGCAGCUCCGGCUGUGUUAUAGCUUCAUGUCACAUACAACAGUUGGGAUUGAGGAACUCAGCACGCCGCAAGGCCGGGUUUCGACCACGUUCGUGCUUAGGAUGCUGGCAUAAUGGCUUUA